AUAACAAUACAGGACUCUUUCCAGGCCCUGUAAUUGGAAUGAGUCCACUUUAAAUCCUUUAACGAGGAUCUAUUGGGGGGCAAGUCUGGUGCAGAGCGACUGACCCGU